rnacentral:rRNA from 1 species
UACGGGGGGGGCAAGCGUUGUUCGGAAUUACUGGGCGUAAAGGGCGCGUAGGCGGUUCGCUAAGUUGGAUGUGAAAACUCUGGGCUCAACCCAGAGCCUGCAUCCAAAACUGGCGAGCUAGAGUAUGUAAGAGGGUCGCGGAAUUCCCGGUGUAGAGGUGAAAUUCGUAGAUAUCGGGAGGAACACCGGUGGCGAAGGCGGCGACCUGGGACAAUACUGACGCUGAGGUGCGAAAGCGUGGGGAGCAAACAGG